CAAGAAUUAACGUUGUUGAAUCUAAUGAGGAUUAUAUGACAGAAGAACCAAUCGAACAUCGUAAUUCUGUUGAAAAAGAUGUCGAAUCAUCUGAUGUCUAAGAAAUAACUACUAAUGAUAAAGAAGGUUUCACAUAUUGUGAUGAUGCUGAUGUAGAUGAAAAUGAAGAUGGUAAGUUUGCUCAUUCCUUAUUGAUUGCAAUAUAUGGUUAUUCAUCAUAGUAACAUAUAAUUCAUGGUUCAUAAUGGUGGCAGUGCACGGCAAUUUGAAAAAGGUUCUGCUGCACACAAGGUAUCUCCAUAGUCUGAUAUACGAAAUUACGAUCAAACUAUAGUGCUCCCAUGUUUAUGUGUUUACUUGUUGCUUUGUGAAUGUUGUCCAGAACCAAGAAACUUUUGAUCAGAAUUUCAGUACACAGCAAGGGAAAAUAAAUGCUGCCGCACACAAGGUAUAUUUCCAUUACCAUAUACAAUAUGUUCAAAAUAUAUCGCUUCGAUGUUUAUGUAUCUACUGGUUGUGUUGCUAUUAGAACGUUGUUCAGAACAAAGAUACUUUGCUUGAGAAUGUCAGUGUACGUGUGCGAGAAAAAACUUCUGCUGCAAACAAGCUAGUAUCUUUUCGUAAUCAGAUACAUAUUUUGCUCAAACUAUAGUGCUAGCUUGUUUAUUCGUUUAUUACCUCUACUUUGCUAUAAGAGUGUUGUCCAGACCAAAAAAACAAAAAAGCUGCUAAUGCAGCCAGUAAGAGAGCUCAAAGUGGUUCGCUAAGUUGGUUGGGUGCCAGUGAACUACUUGUAAGACUGCUCAAAUUCAUUUCAUACGUACCCCUAUUUUGUCUGUCUUGUCAUGGGUGAUGAGGAUAAUUCUGCCAAUGGUAACUUUGGUUUUCUCUAACUUGCAGGAACUAAAGUAUUCUUGAAGAGCCUGAAAAAUCAUAACUAGCACAUAGCUCUUGGUACAAGUGAUCCUAAAUUUAAACUUGAUGGUGCUGAAAUUAGAAAUGGAUUCCGGGCUGUGCGUGUCGAUAUGGCACUUGUGAAAACUAAAAAUUUGGUACGGAGUUGAAAAAACUGCAAUACUCUCGGUAAUGCAUAAAAAAAACUAAUAUCUUGCCUCUAUUACUACUUGCAUCAUGGCAAUCUUUGUGUAUUAACAACUCAUUUUGUUAUCUUGUUUGUAGAUUCAAAAGAAAAUGGAUGACUCUAUGGUGUGUGGAAAGUAUACUGCAAUGAUGAUGUUGAUGUUUCGGUUCAUGAUGAUGAUGAUGAUGAUGAUGAUGAUGGAUGCUUUCAGUUUUAGUUAAGUUGUAGGGAUGGCGUAUAUUGGAUAUUGUUCCUCCUUGAUUUUUAGUUAUGUUGUAGGGAAGUUGAUGGAUGCUUUCAAUGUAAGUUUUGUUGUCAAGAAAAUAGUCAGAUUAUGCAUCACACUUGGAUGAUGUUCCUCCUGUAAUAUACACUAUUGUAAUCCAACAGUUCUAUCUAAUACACGAUUUCUUCCUCUCUGAGUAUAUUAUCUUGUUUUCCUUCAUU
rnacentral:lncRNA from 1 species